UCUCCUGGAAACGGGUGGUAAUGCCGGAUGUUCCACAUGAUCGCAUGUGAUUGUGGGAAAGAUUCUAUCGGCGUGGGAUGGGGUCGCGUCCUAUCAGCUUGUUGGUGAGGUAACGGCUCACCAAGGCUUCGACGGGUAGCCGGCCUGAGAGGGCGACCGGCCACAUUGGGACUGAGAUACGGCCCAGACUCCUACGGGAGGCAGCAGUGGGGAAUAUUGCACAAUGGGCGCAAGCCUGAUGCAGCGACGCCGCGUGAGGGAUGGAGGCCUUCGGGUUGUAAACCUCUUUUGUUUGGGAGCAAGCCUUCGGGUGAGUGUACCUUUCGAAUAAGCGCCGGCUAACUACGUGCCAGCAGCCGCGGUAAUACGUAGGGCGCAAGCGUUAUCCGGAUUUAUUGGGCGUAAAGGGCUCGUAGGCGGCUCGUCGCGUCCGGUGUGAAAGUCCAUCGCUUAACGGUGGAUCUGCGCCGGGUACGGGCGGGCUGGAGUGCGGUAGGGGAGACUGGAAUUCCCGGUGUAACGGUGGAAUGUGUAGAUAUCGGGAAGAACACCA
rnacentral:rRNA from 1 species